rnacentral:rRNA from 1 species
AGUGAACGCUGGCGGUAGGCCUAACACAUGCAAGUCGAACGGCAGCACAGUAAGAGCUUGCUCUUACGGGUGGCGAGUGGCGGACGGGUGAGGAAUACAUCGGAAUCUACUUUUUCGUGGGGGAUAACGUAGGGAAACUUACGCUAAUACCGCAUACGACCUACGGGUGAAAGCAGGGGAUCUUCGGACCUUGCGCGAUUGAAUGAGCCGAUGUCGGAUUAGCUAGUUGGCGGGGUAAAGGCCCACCAAGGCGACGAUCCGUAGCUGGUCUGAGAGGAUGAUCAGCCAAACGGGAAUGGAGACACGGUCCAACCCCCUAGGGGGGGCAGCAGUGGGGAAUUUUGGAAAAGGGGCGAAAGCCUGACCCAGCCAUACCGGGGGGGGGAAGAAGGCCUUGGGGUUGAAAAGCCCUUUUUUUGGGAAAAAAAAGCAGCAGGUUAAAACCCCGCCGUUCUGACGGUACCCAAAGAAUAAGCACCGGCUAACUUCGU